rnacentral:rRNA from 1 species
CCUACGGGAGGCAGCAGUGAGGAAUAUUGGUCAAUGGACGCAAGUCUGAACCAGCCAUGCCGCGUGCAGGAAGACGGCUCUAUGAGUUGAAAACUGCUUUUGUACAAGGGUAAACCUGAAUACGUGUAUUCAGCUGAAAGUACUUUACGAAUAAGGAUCGGCUAACUCCGUGCCAGCCGCCGCGGUAAUACGGAGGAUCCAAGCGUUAUCCGGAUUUAUUGGGUGUAAAGGGUGCGUAGGCGGAUUGAUAAGUUAGAGGUGAAAUGUCCGCGCUUAACUCGGGAACUGCCUCUAAUACUGUUGAUCUAGAGAGUAGAUGCGGUAGGCGGAAUGUAUGGUGUAGCGGUGAAAUGCGUAGAGAUGAUACAGAACACCGAUUGCGAAGGCAGCUUACCAAUCUAUUUCUGACGUUGAGGCACGAAAGCGUGGGGAGCAAACAGGAUUAGAUACCCCUGUAGUC